AUUGAACGCUGGCGGCAGGCCUAACACAUGCAAGUCGAGCGGGGGUAGCAAUACCCUAGCGGCGAACGGGUGAGGAAUGCUUGGGAAUCUGCCUGGUAGUGGGGGAUAACGUUCCGAAAGGAACGCUAAUACCGCAUACGUCCUACGGGAGAAAGGGGGGGAUCUUCGGACCUCUCGCUAUCAGAUGAGCCCAAGCGGGAUUAGCUAGUUGGUGGGGUAAAGGCCCACCAAGGCGACGAUCCCUAGCUGGUCUGAGAGGAUGAUCAGCCACACUGGAACUGAAACACGGUCCAGACUCCUACGGGAGGCAGCAGUGGGAAUAUUGGACAAUGGGGGAAACCCUGAUCCAGCCAUGCCGCGUGUGUGAAGAAGGCC
rnacentral:rRNA from 1 species